rnacentral:rRNA from 1 species
CGGAGAGUUCCCUUCGGGGACAUUGGUGACAGGUGGUGCAUGGUUGUCGUCAGCUCGUGUCGUGAGAUGUUGGGUUAAGUCCCGCAACGAGCGCAACCCUUGUCUUUAGUUGCCAUCAUUAAGUUGGGCACUCUAGAGAGACUGCCAGGGAUAACCUGGAGGAAGGUGGGGAUGACGUCAAAUCAUCAUGCCCCUUAUGCUUAGGGCUACACACGUGCUACAAUGGGUAGUACAGGGGGUUGCCAAGCCGUAAGGUGGAGCUAAUCCCUUAAAGCUACUCUCAGUUCGGAUUGUAGGCUGAAACU